rnacentral:lncRNA from 1 species
CAAACUCAAACCCUAAUGCAUCAAUGAGUUGUAUCAUACAAGUCAUCAUUGCAUCAUGAUCUGAGAGAGAGAGAGAGAGAGAGAGAGAGAGUUUAAUUACCACUGAAAUCUUGAGUGGUGGUGCAAGGUGGGAGAAUUGGAGUGAGAGAGGUAGGGGCAUGAUGGUCAUCUUCUUGGGAGGACUGUAACAUGAAAUUGGUGGAGAAGAAGGCCAUUCCAGUGCAAGUCAUCAGCUGUUUAAGCCACCUCUAUAGCUUUGUUGUUUAUAUGACCUGUGGAAACAUUCCAAGAUUUCUUUGUAGUCUCUUCAUCAUGUUUAGAGAGAGAAAGAGAGAGAGAUCUAGAGAGAGGAGAGAAAC